AGAUAGAGGUUGCGCUUUAUCAAUAGUAGUCAUUCCAUAAGCCGUGCAGAUGGCGGGAUGGUGAAAGGGGUAGGCGCCGAGGAUUGGUCUUUUCUGCACAAAAGAUUAUUCCGGGCAUAGGAAGAAUAUUUCUAUGACUGUCGCAAAGAUACAAAAGAAUUUGCGGAGCGCUAUCA
rnacentral:ncRNA from 1 species